rnacentral:lncRNA from 1 species
UCUCCUUCAUGCCAUCCCCGCCGUAUUUUAUCUGGGUCUGACAAAAGUGAUUUCAUCCUCGUAUCUGAAAUUUUCAAAUCAUAUUAUAAAUUGUAUGUCUGUCUUACCUAGUUUGUGCUUUCUGUCGCACAUGAUAAAAUUCACCCGAAUUGUUCAUUUUCCUUUUGAAUUGGUGGUUUGAAUCAAUGAAUUUCAAGAUAACUAGACGUCUUUAAUCUUAAAAAAAAAAGUUCUUAGCAACCUUUUCAUUUCUGCGAGUUAGUAAUGAUUUAUUUUGCCUUAGGAGUGACCCAAAAGAAACUUGCUCAAGGACAGCCUCCUUAAAGCAGACUUCCAUAUACCCCAACCUGCAAAAGAAGACUUUACGUGAAAUGUUACAGCCCAUAACAGCUGCAGCCUUGACUAUUAAAUCUCAAAGGGAAUAAAAAAGUCGCCUGACAGUUAAAGCAGAGGACUACACUUGGGGCCAAGAAUAUGGGCUACUUCAUAUGGAAGAACUCCAGCAACCGGGAGGUAGCUCAUCAGAACGUUAGGCAUUUCUGCUACCAGGAGACACCUGGACCCUGUAAGGCUGUGAGCUGAUUCUGGGAACUUUGCCAUCAGUGGCUGAGGCCAGAGACCCACACCAAAGAACAGAUCCUGGAAUUGCUGGUGCUGGAGCAGUUCUUGACUAUCCUGCCAGAGGAGCUCCAAGCCCGGAUGUUAGAGCAUCAGCCGGAGAACAGAGAGGAAAUGGUGAUCAUAUCGGAGGAUUUGGAAAGAGAGCUUGAUGAAACAGAAUAUCGGGUGUGAUUAAAAGGCACAUGAACACCCUAGCCAGAGAAAGAAGCAGCCAUACAUCCAGGGAAGCAAGGUUGCAGAGCUCAAUCUCCACUCCCUCCCGCUUGAUAUGUAAGUCUCUAUGUUUCGUACUCUCAUCCUUUCUGGUUAGCUCCUUACUUCUUAAGGGUGGAAGAAGACUGUGUCAGCAUUCUUUCUCUAUUCUAUGCCCUGAGAUGUGUUCUCUAAGAUGUCUUUUAAAGAUAGUAACUGUGGUUCCAUCAUUGAGUCUUUCACAAGCCCAGCCAUAUCUAAUUGUUCCCAAGUUGCAGCCAGUGCAUAUGGAAUGGGACUGCACUCAGAAUAUCAUCAUCAAGCAGCACAGGAGCCACCAACUAUUCCUUUCCAGCCAAUGAAAAGACAGCUUAAAUGGGAAUAUCCAGAAUUCCAGGCCAUUCAUGAGCAAGGUGAGCAUCACAGUCCAUCUCGAGAGAAAGGGAGUGGUUGAAAGCUCUGCCAGCUACCCAGGCUGAACAGCAUCAGGAGCAUCUCAGACAUAAUCCACCAUGCUGAAUCAGAUGGAAGGUCCAUCUCCUGAAGUACUACAUUCCAGCUUAUGUGGCACCAACAAGACCUGAUGCAGAAUGGCGUAAUGCUGUCCUCCCUCAUAUCAGCCUCAGCAGGAAGUUGUACACCAGCUUCCGUAAUUUCCUUUAAAAAGCUAUUCUAGGCCACUGUCAUUAAAAAAAUACCUUUACUUUUUUGUAAUAUUUUCAUAAUAUAUAAUUUCAUAGCCCAACCUCUACUACACACUUAGUGCUUUCUCUGUAAAGUAGAAUUUACUUUUUUGUCUUAAAAUUACCUUUUCUGAAUCCCCUGGAUCACCUAAAUCCAUUUUGUACCCUCUUUUCUGUUCCCUUUUAAUAGAAGCUACAUCAUUGACCUGAUGUUUUAGACUCAUCUAAACAUUUUUAUUCUUUAGUCCCUGUUGUCUUUAAUUCAAACAUUACACAUAAUUCUAAAAUAUCCCUUAGGUCAGUCAUCUUCAGUAUUACUUCCUCAUUGGACCCAUUACUUCCAGCUUCAGUAUGCUUGAAUUUGUCCUGACUCUCAAUAGAAACAAAUUAUUUUUCUCUUACCUGUCACUUUCCGCAUGCUAUCUUCAGACCUUCCACUCACUUUCAUCCUCCUCUACUUUUAACACUCAUUUUUACUCCCAUUGCUCAACACAACUCUCUUCUUGAUUGUUCCUUUAUUCUGUCUCUUCCUUUGCUCAGUGGUAUGGACUGAAUGUUUGUGGUCCCACCAACAACCCCUAAACAAUUUAUACAUUGAAGCCCUAACCUCCCAUGAGUUGGUAUUAUAGAUGGGGCCUUUGAGAGGUAAUUAGUUCUUGAGGGCAGGGCCCUGUAUGAUAGGAUUAAUGCCCUUUUAAAAGCAGUCACCAGAGAGCUUGAUAUUUCUCCUAUGUGCCCGUGAAGGUAAGGUCUUGUGAGCACAACAGCAAAAAGGUGAUCAUCUGAAAGCCAGAAGGAGAGCCCUCACCAGAAACCAACCAUGUUAGUACCCUGAUCUCAACCUCCAGAACUGUGAGAAAAUAAAUUUCUCUUAUUUAAACCACCAGUAUAGUAUUUUGUUAUGGCAGCCCAACUUAACACCACUUCAUGUCCCAAUUCUGUGGCAAUAAUGUGCAUGAGAGGUCUCCUUCCAUUUACCAGCUAUCUUAUUCCUUGCCUACAAGGAAUAUAUUCUUACAGAUAUCACAAACAGGGAAGACAGUUAUCUGCAUGGGACAUAGCUUGCUUGCUUAAAGAAAAGGACAGAAGUUUAGUACUAGUGAAGAACCAUUUACAUUUUCUAAGGGCCAUUUUUUCACAGAAAACCAUUGUGGGCUCCCAAAAGUACAAGUAACCCAAUUUAGUAUUUUAUUCAAAGUGAAACAUACACUUAGGAAUAGAAUUCAUGAAAAAUUUUACAAAUAUAAGAUGCAUACUCCAUUCACAGUGGCUAUAUCCUAGAAAAUCCCUAAGUAUUACUCUGUACUAUAUUUUUUUCCUUAAUUUGGGGAAACUUUAGUUACUGAGAUUAUACCCUUGAGAUACGGAGAUCUUUAUGAUUCAAGACGCAGACUUAACUAGCCUAGUUUUCCUUUUCUUUAUUCUGGCUCCGCAUCUUCCAAAUGAGUCUAGUUGGAAACUCUUACCCCUUAGUUUCCUCCCAGUCAGCACCAGUUUAGGGGAGUUAAGGAAUUAUUUUUCAUUUCCAGCUCUGGCUCUAAAUAAUGUGUCUCCAGCAGUGAAAUGUAGGCCAAGAUAGCUCUCUGAUAUGUAGCUCCUAUAAAGGAACCCACUUCUCAGAAGCAUUGGAAAAGGCAAAUUAUGAAGGUUCAUAAUACAAUAUAAUAAAAAUUCUUUAGUCAUCCACUAUUACAGAUACUAAGCCAAAUUUUAAAUUCAUACUGUAUAACAAAUUUGAAUUUAGAAAUAAUUCCUCUUUAUUCUUUUCAUUUCAACCCAAGGUUACUUACUGAUAUAGUUCAGAUAUGUGUCUCCACUCAAAUCUCAUGUUGAAUUGUAAUCCCCAAUAUUGGAGAUAGGGCCUGGUGGGAGGUGACUGGAUCAUGGAAGUGGAUCCUUCAUGAAUGGUUUAGCACCACCUUCUUGGUACUGUUCUCCUGAUACUGAAUUCUUGUGUGAUCUCGUUGUUUACAAGUGUGUGGCAUCUCUCCCUUCUCUCUCUUGCUCUUGCUCCUGCCAUGUAAGAAUCCUGCUCUCCCUCUGCCUUCUGCCAUAAUUGUAAGUUUUCUGAGGCCUCCUCAGAAGCCAAGCAGAUACCAGCAUCAUGCUUCCUGUACAGCCUACAGAACCAUGAGCCAAGUAAACCUCUUUUCUUUAUAAAUUACCCAGUCUCAAGUAUUUCUUUAUAGAAAUGUGAGAAUGAACUAAUACACUAACUCUCAAACAUAACUUUUUAUGUAUCCACAUCAUUUCCUAAAAUUUUGUAGAAAUCUUAAAAUAUUAUAUUUUAAUCCCAUCUUUCCCAUCUGAAAGCACUGACAUUCCACAUUUUUUCAAGAAAAAAUAUUUGGUUAGAAACACCGUCAAGUUUGUCUUCUGAGUGUGUACAUUUUAUAAAGAAAAUAAAAAACCUUUUAUAAUAUAAACCCUGGGAAAAGAUUUUGGUCCAUAGCCUAGAAACACAUUUGUAAUAUGUUGCUUAAGUGAAAUUCAUGACAUUUUAGCAUGUAUUUUAUUCUUGUUUACUUCUUUACUGAUAUGUCAUACACUCUUUUUGUUCUAACAUUUUGAUUUGGCAGAGCCAAUACCCACCUAUACUACAACUUUCUUAUGCCAGCACAAGAAUGCUAUAUUCAAAAUGCUUUCCAUGUAUUACCUUCUUUUAUCCUCAGAUAUCCUUGGCAGAUAGUAGGGCAGAUAUUACCCUCAUCUUAUUGAAGAAUAUUCUGGGUAUAAGGAAGUCAAAUAACUUGUCAACAGUUACAAGGUUAUGAGGUAAAGAAGCAAUAAUCUCCAAAGCUACAGCUAUUCAUACAAAGACAAUACAUAAACCCUUACAUUAUAAGUGUCUAGUGCACUGCAAAGAAGACUUAUGAGUGUUUAGCUAGAAGACUGAAGGAAUUCAGGAAAUGCCACUCCAAAAUAUGCCAAUUUGGUAUAUGGGUUAAUUCUAGCCAAAGGCACUUGAAAAACAACAAAUGUAAGGAGAAGCUUUCUCUGAACUCCCCCUAUCUGCCUAAAGACAGAUCCUCUAAAAGGAGCUCAGUUGUCAUCAAUCCCCUCCCUGGGAAUUUCAUCAACCGGGGAAGAUUAACUCUAUCACAGGAGAAGAGGCUAGAAGUUGACACCACACCUAGACAAACUUCUUCAAAAACUAUUAUCUCUUCUUCUGAGGACCCAAUAAUCUUUCCCAAAAAUUAUUUCUCCCCUAAAUUGCCUAUAUCUCACCUCCUCUCCCCUGUGAAGUAGAGAUGUAAACUCCUGAAUCUCACUGGUUGUUUAGGUGUAUGCUUUCUUUUCUGUAC